UGGCUCUCGCAUCGAUGAAGAACGCAGCGAAUCGCGAUAUGUAAUGUGAAUUGCAGAUCUACAGUGAAUCAUCGAAUCUUUGAACGCACCUUGCGCUCCUCGGUGUUCCGAGGAGCAUGCCUGUUUGAGCGUCAGUAAAUUCUCAACCCCUCUCGAUUUGCUUCGAGUGGGGCUUGGAUAGUGGGGGCUGCCGGAGACCUGAAAUUCAUUUCGGGACUCGGGCUCCUCUGAAAUGCAUCGGCUUGCGGUCGACUUUCGACUUUGCGCGACAAAGCUUUCGGCGUGAUAAUGAUCGCCGUUCGCUGAAGCGCAUCAAUGAACGGUCCCGUGCCUCUAAUCAGUCGACGCCUUCCGGGCGUCUUCCUUAUAGACGUUUGACCUCAAAUCAGGUAGGACUACCCGCUGA
rnacentral:misc_RNA from 1 species